UGGCCUUGACAUAGUAAGAAUUUUCCAGAGACGGAAAAGUGCUAGUUUACUAGAGCUUAUAUACAGGUGCUGCACGGCUGUCGUCAGCUCGUGUCGUGAGAUGUUGGGUUAAGUCCCGCAACGAGCGCAACCCUCGCUAAUAGUUAAUAACGGUUCGGCCGAUGACUCUAUUAGGACUGCCUACGCAAGUAGGAGGAAGGUGAGGACGACGUCAAGUCAUCAUGGCCCUUACGGCCAGGGCUACACACGUGCUACAAUGGGGUAUACAGAGAGCCGCAAUACCGCGAGGUGGAGCAAAUCUUAAAAAUAUCUCCCAGUUCGGAUAGCAGUCUGCAACUCGACUGCUUGAAGUUGGAAUCGCUAGUAAUCGUGAAUCAGCAAUGUCACGGUGAAUACGUUCCCGGGUCU
rnacentral:rRNA from 1 species